UACGGAGGGAGCUAGCGUUGUUCGGAAUUACUGGGCGUAAAGCGCGCGUAGGCAGCUUUGUAAGUUAGAGGUGAAAGCCCGGGGCUCAACCCCGGAAUUGCCUUUAAGACUGCAUCGCUUGAAUCCGGGAGAGGUGAGUGGAAUUCCGAGUGUAGAGGUGAAAUUCGUAGAUAUUCGGAAGAACACCAGUGGCGAAGGCGGCUCACUGGACCGGCAUUGACGCUGAGGUGCGAAAGCGUGGGGAGCAAACAGG
rnacentral:rRNA from 1 species